UCCCUGGUGGCUCAGAUGGUAAAGAAUCUGCCUGCAAUGCAGGAGACCCAGGUUCGAUCCCUGGGUCGGGAA
rfam:TPA: Bos taurus chromosome 13, whole genome shotgun sequence.